AUUGAACGCUGGCGGCAGGCCUAACACAUGCAAGUCGAACGGUAACAGGAAACAGCUUGCUGUUUCGCUGACGAGUGGCGGACGGGUGAGUAAUGUCUGGGAAACUGCCUGAUGGAGGGGGAUAACUACUGGAAACGGUAGCUAAUACCGCAUAACGUCGCAAGACCAAAGAGGGGGACCUUCGGGCCUCUUGCCAUCGGAUGUGCCCAGAUGGGAUUAGCUAGUAGGUGGGGUAACGGCUCACCUAGGCGACGAUCCCUAGCUGGUCUGAGAGGAUGACCAGCCACACUGGAACUGAGACACGGUCCAGACUCCUACGGGAGGCAGCAGUGGGGAAUAUUGGACAAUGGGCGCAAGCCUGAUGCAGCCAUGCCGCGUGUAUGAAGAAGGCCUUCGGGUUGUAAAGUACUUUCGGCGGGGAGGAAGGGAGUAAAGUUAAUACCUUGACUCAUUGACGGUACCCGAAGAAGAAGCACCGGCUAACUCCGUG
rnacentral:rRNA from 1 species